GUGCACGCUGGCGGUAGGCCUAACACAUGCAAGUCGAACGGCAGCACCGUAAGAGCUUGCUCUUACGGGUGGCGAGUGGCGGACGGGUGAGGAAUACAUCGGAAUCUACUUUUUCGUGGGGGAUAACGUAGGGAAACUUACGCUAAUACCGCAUACGACCUACGGGUGAAAGCAGGGGAUCUUCGGACCUUGCGCGAUUGAAUGAGCCGAUGUCGGAUUAGCUAGUUGGCGGGGUAAAGGCCCACCAAGGCGACGAUCCAUAGCUGGUCUGAGAGGAUGAUCAGCCACACUGGAACUGAGACACGGUCCAGACUCCUACGGGAGGCAGCAGUGGGGAAUAUUGGACAAUGGGCGCAAGCCUGAUCCAGCCAUACCGCGUGGGUGAAGAAGGCCUUCGGGUUGUAAAGCCCUUUUGUUGGGAAAGAAAAGCAGCAGGUUAAUACCCCGCUGUUCUGACGGUACCCAAAGAAUAAGCACCGGCUAACUUCGUG
rnacentral:rRNA from 1 species